CCUCAUCUGUAAAACGGGGAGUGAUAAUACCUGUGAAACAAACUUUAUGGGGUUUUCAUGAGAAAAGCACUUCCCGUACCUUAAAGAAUGUCAGCCAAUAAGCCUGAAGAUGCCCAGAGAGUAAUUACAUGGGUUUUGAUUUGAAGCCGAAAGACAGUACUUAGUGAGAGGAACUGCUGUAUCAGACUGAAGUGAACAGCCAGAGAAGACUUCAUCCACCACACAAGUGGCCUGACUGAUCGGGAGCUCCUUGAGCACAAAGACCAAGUCUUGGUAUCCUCUGAUGCCCAGCAUCAUGCAUUGAAUACUAUCUACCUUGUUAGUGUUUGCUGAAUGAAUUACUUAAAGAAGAUUCUUUUCAACUAGUUCUGAAUACUUAAAAACUCUAUUAGAAAAAAAAAAACACAAACCUACCACGUGGUCAUUUAGUUGGACUGGAUGUGCUGCUUCCUGUUUCUUAAUCUUGUUGGACUCCCAGAGAGGCAUGAAAUCUUUGUUGGAACAGUUAGGUUUUUACUCUGUCAACUGGAAAAUGGGUCAGCCAAACAGGGCUUAAUAAAGUUCCAUCCAGGUGAGCCAACUGGAAAUUAUCUCAGUACCAGCCAGCUUCCCCUUUACUUUCAUGAGAGGAGAAUAAGAGAGUCCUGAAAGAGACAAAAUUUAUAAUCCUACUUCCACAGGAGGACCCUCAAGAAAGAAUUCUAGCAAUUUAGUAAUUCCUGGUGUUUUUUUUGUUUGGUUUGUUUUGUUUUGCCUUUUAAGAUUCAAAGCCACCUGGUUUUUAGCAAAGAUCUGAUUGUAUGUUAAAAUGGACUAAGAUUUGUAGGUAUUCAAGUACCCAGCUUAUCAGCCAAAGCAAGUUGUGGAGCAGAUGCUCCACUUUUCAGAGAUAAAGAAUAGAGUACCUGACACUGAAAUAUUGCAGUCAUGAACAGGCCUAUUUAAAUAUCUGGGUUAAAAAAAAGAAAGUGAAGAACUGAGGUCAACACACAAUUGAAAAGAGGACCCAAAGCCAGUACCUCCUCCCCACUCUCAUACCCUCAAGAAAACUGCUUUUAAAUGCCUUCAGCAAUCACGCAUGACUCUGAAAGCAAUCCCUUUUUAACCAGCUCUCUUCCAACAGCUUAGACUGCCCCAUAAGUCAUUCUGGGAAGGGAACCAAAAGAUGUCGUUAAUCAAAUCAGGAUAAUUACUAGGAGGCAGGUUAAGAAACACAAAGAUGAAGAUAUGGGGGAAGUAGACAGAGCAAACAGGAAGUGGGGUCAGAAAUACAGGAGAGCCAUGUUUGUUAAACAAAGGUCAAGAAGGGUAGGAAAAAUACCUUCAGGUUCUGUGGCUACAAGAUUCUAUCCCUCACAAAUGGUGACAAAGGACUUUAUAUAUCCAGGUAAAAUUUCCUUCUUACAGACAGUCCAUCAGGAGGCCAGUAUUAAACCUUCAUAGGAUUACAGAAACAGAAAGGGGAAAAUGAGGCCCUGAGAGGGUGAGUGCUUCGCCUGAGGUCUAAUAAGUAACAGCAAAAAGUCAGCUUCCCUGUCCUAAAGUCACAGUAUUUAGAACUUGAAAGUCUUCAGUGGCCAAAAAAAAAUCUUUCUCUAACUUUACAGGUUAGAAAACUAAGACCAAGAAAGGUAUAGGGACCUACCCAGGUUCACACAGGUAGCUAAGUGAGGGCUGAUACCCAAAUUGAAAAGGCCUGGAAGCUGUCCUUAGGUACUGAUUACCUCCUGCAAUAUAAGAGAUCAGAGAAACUCAGGAUGUUCUUCUGAUGGGGGUAAUUAAUAGAAGAGACAUGGUUGGGAGCUAGUUCCUAGGUCUGUGACGGUAUAUUCAGGAUGAAACUCAGAAGGACAGAGAGCCAGUGCUUGGGCUAAGCAGUUGUCAAAUCAGCCAUCCCUGCAGAAACAAGGUUGAGGUUAAAUAAGAACCAAUGGUUAAGACAAGUGGUUGGUUGUCAUGACUGUGCAAAAUGUUCUUUGGUGUCUGUGUGUGUGUGUGUGUGUGUGUGUGUGUGUGUGUGUGUGUGUGUGUGUGUGUGUGUGUAUGAAAGUGGGCAUACAUUCUGAUAUAGAUCGUUGGAGGAAUUUGAAGGCAUGUUUGAGAUCUUAGGGUACAUAUUCCAGGAAGGUCUAGGAUGAGAAUACAUCUGGGGGCUAGGCAGAGACUGGUAAUUCAUGCUGGUAAAGCUCAGAGACCGAAUGAAAGUUAGAUUCCAGGGAUGAUUCCCCCCUAACCCCUAAGCAAUAUUAACAUUUUUAGGACUGUGAUAAAACAGAGUAGGGAAGAAAGGAGGGAAACACAAGAUGACCAGAGCUGAAUAAGUGAUUGAGAUGAGAUAGUAUGAAAAUGAAUUUGUGUCAGUAAGGAGCAGAGACAAGAUUGGAACCCAUGUUUUCUAACUCCAAAUCCGGAGCUUUUAACAUUAAAUCACCCUGCUGCCCUCUCAGUACCUUCUAUCUCAACACUUUUAAUUAGUUUUAAUCUUUACAGAGGAUGCACUCCAAAACCUAGCCUAGAUCUUUGACAUCAAAGUAGGUGGGGGCUUCUUACCAAAAAGGUUUUAUAUUAUUUCAGGUUCUUUUCUUCUAUAAAGGCAUCCCCAGAAGUCAUCAGUUAACAUAUGAGGAGUUAGAGAGAAUCAUCCAUUGAGAUGGAUUUUACUAGUAUUAACACUCUAACUCUAAAAAGGAGACUGGAUUGCAGCCCAGUCCUGGUAUUGCAGUUUCUUUGAUAUAUAAGGGAUAAAACGCCAAUUGAACUAGUAGGCCGGUAGCUCCUUAGGCUACCCUGAUGCUCUCUGAUAAUCUCCUGUUUCAAAAUAAAGAAGGGUUCAUUUUAUGUUGUUUCCUAAAUACCUGAGAAAUACAUGUGAGAACAUUUGGAAACAAUGAUGUUCUUAUGAUAAUAGUUUCUUUAGAAGAGUAAUGUUUACGUGGGUCUUCAGCCAAUGAAGAAAAGUGUGUCUGGUUGAUAGUACAAAAAUAAAUUGUCCAGUUCCCUUUAUAACUUCUGCAUUUCUCAUACUUUUUUUUUUGGUACUUUUACUACCAAAUGCCUUACUUGAAGGAGGCAACAAGUUUCAGGUCACUCUGACUUUUCUUGAUAUGACACUGAAAUUUUUUAAACCUGGAAUUUAUUAUUAUAAUUUUACAAUACUGUUUUGAUAAUAAUUAUGUUAUUAAAUUGCAUGAUAAAUUACACUGUUAAAUUUGAUCAUUUACCAUCAAUAAGAUGAUCAAUUUAGAAAAAUGAAAAAUAUUACUUUCAAGGAAAACCCCAAUCAAUUGUAUUUAGGGAUGGACAUACUCUAGGCAUAAAUGAUGAAAUGAAGACAUUAUGGGCAGAUGAGUGAGAAGUCAUGAAAUCAUACUUGUAAAACUAUUUCUAAAGCCAGACAAGUUGCUUAUUCUUCUACAAAUGAAUAAAUAAUGUGAAUUUGAAUUUGAUUGGAAAAUAUUAUUAUGGGGGGCAGAGCUAAGAUGGCAGAGUGAAAGCAGCAACUUGCUUGAGCUGUCCC